GCGCACAUGUGGCAUUACAAAUGGCAACUGUGCCCUGCUUUCUCGUCGCCCUCUGAACUGUCGUAAUAGUGAGGAGGAGAGCUGCUGUGUGCCACGCUGUAGGUGGAUUCCUUCACUGAAUCUUCAUAAUGACUCUUGGAGCAAAUCUUUUGGGGACACCCCGCCCCCCUCUGCCCACUCCCUAAGAUGACGCAGCUGUAGAGGCGGGUGGAGGAGAUUGGAGUCUCCAGCCCUGCCUAUUGCCCGGGCUGUGCUCAGAGGUACCGAUGCUCCUGAGAAGCCAGUUCCUGUUUACCCUACCGUUAUCAAGCCCAGAAACUUCCCAGUUACACCAAAUCAUGCAAAAUGAUGAAGACUGUCAUCCUCCCUUGUUGACAAUGGAAAGAAGCCAUUCAAUAACUGGGAGAUGAAACAGGAAGCUCUAUGACACAGUUGAUCGAAAAUGACACAGACACAGAAAAAUCAGGACUCGGCCCCCUCCAGUGCCUCUACCUGCUGCCCACAGCCGGAGUGCAGAUGGCAAAGUAAGAAGCAGAAGGGGAAAGGACUUGGCUGCCAGCAGCUUCCCCAUCCUUUAUGGAUUGGAUCUGUAAAGGAGACUCUCAGGUGGGUACGAACAACACCUAUUGUC
rnacentral:lncRNA from 1 species